rnacentral:rRNA from 1 species
UUCUAUGGCCAUGCCGCCCUGAGCAAGGCUGAUCCCGUUUGAUCUCAGAAGCUAAGCGGGGUCGGGCCUGGUUAAUAGUUGGAUGGGAGACCACCUAGGAAGACCAGGUGCUGUGGGCG